CUGAAUCUGGGGAGAGAAAACAAAAAUAAGAGAAAUGGAGCAGAUUAAUGGAAGGAGGAUAAAACCCAUGAGUGACCAAAACCUCAACAGUAAUUUCCAAAACAACUAAAGAAACAUUAGAGGAACUUACGCAGAACUGAUACAUAAACGUCCCAAGGAAGAAAGACCACCUUCUUCCCAGUGAGACUUCAGUGGGAUUUGACUUUACCAUCCUAAUGGAGUAGAUCUGCAUCUCACUGCUUCAGCUGCAAAAGACCUGGGGUUACUUGGUCUGCACACAGACCCCUGCAAUCCCUUCCCACAGACAGGAACUGUCUAACAUAUGGCUCCAGUGGAAGAAUUUUUGGGGUAAAGGCUGCAGGGAAGCUGGGGAGCCAGGGAGGAGGAUAAGGUUCCAAUUAUCUUUAAUUAUCUAUUUUGGAAAAACAGAGUUUGGGCUUAUGUGAUGCAGAGGGCCUUAGGCAAAAUUCAUCCUCACAUAAAGGCUACCAGAUUAGGGAAUGUUUAUUUAAAAAGGGAAAGACUGUUUGUUCUGCUCUGCUAUUUUGCUGCCCUAACAGCUAUGCAUGCAGAGCAGGCAAGGAAGUGAAAGCAGCUAUGACAAUAGCCAGGGUAGCAACUGAAGCCCCCAGACACUGUACUCUGUAGCACUUGAACAACCAGGAUAAAGAAUAGAGCCUAAAUCUGGAAAGAAAAACAGAAACAAAACUCAAACCAAAGCAACCCCCCCAUGCCUCCCAUGAAAAUAAUGAGCCCUCAACUACAAUACUUAGCCAUACUUCAGGAAGAACAGCGCUAAAAAAAAAACAUGUUGAGAAUCAACACUGUGAAUUGCUGGCAGUAAAUGUUAUUAAUCAUCACCAGCAAAUGUUAUUGAAACUAUUCACAGCUCUGAGAAGGAGUGGGGUGGGGGGGGAAGAAUAUAACAAAAUAAUAUAGGUUUCAGUUUCUCCCCCUACAAAAUGGGGAAGAGACAACACUCAUGCACAUUUCCUUGUGGUGUUCUGACAUGUUGUACACAUUGAAACCUGGUUCUCGUGCAGUAUCACUACAGCAUGUCCUGUAUUACUUUAUUUCACUGCUCUUACCACCUCCAGCACACAGUGGUCAGGCUUCAUCACUGCACCCACUAGCAACAAUGCAAACGGAUACAAGGAGUCCAACACAGAAUUACAAGAGGAAAAAUCUGCCCAUUUAAAGUGCAGAAAGUGAGCAGAAAUAUUGAAUAGUUUUUAAUAAACCACUUGCAACUGCAUGCAAAAGUAGGACAGAAAAGGCAUUGUCCUGCAGGACUAGAAUGGCCCUUGUUAGCUGUGGAUGGCAUUGCACCCAGUUUCUGGUCUGUCCCAGCCUGACCAACCAAGCACAGCCAAGAGCAGGCUAGCUCAAGAGGGCUUGUAAGAAAAGCCUCCUCCCUGGCUACUGAGUGCCAGAAAUCCCAGCACUGCAACUCCCAAAUGCAUCUAGCCACCCAACAUGGUGUGGGGGAGAAAGAUCCCACAGACCCCAGCAUUGAUUGAUGUACAUCCCCAGUCCCCAUCGGCCUGAGAACAGAGCAAACAGAUGUGCAGAAGCUGGAUUUCCAAGGUGAUGUAGGCACUAGGUGGAAGGUACUAGCUCUCAUUCUCUCUUCUUCUAUCCCCUGUCAAAACUUCCUGACCUGGUAAAGACAAGAGGAGCUCAUCAGAACUACAAGAGCCUGCUGAAGCACUGAAGAGCAAACCACUCACCAGCUGCCCCUGAGUGAUGUACUUCUUCCACCACAGAUAAGGACGCAUUGCUGGAACAGCAGACAAUCCGUAGUAGGAGUACAUGAGGACAUGGAUAAAGCUGUUCAGUGUGGCACCAAAGUAAGCUAAAAAAAGGGCAAGGGAAAAAGAAAGUACACUACAUUACCAGGAAGGAACAUGCUGUUUCAUGGAACCUACAAAAAUAACAAGUUCAAAAUGUUACUAUUUAAAAUAUGAUUUCUCUUAGAAGAAAAGCAAGACGGUUCUUUUUUUACCCUGUUUUUUAUUCUCCCUACCCAAUGGACUAGCUGAGCUGCUUUGCAGCUUUGUGCUUUACACCAGCCUUCUGGUUUUGUUUCCUCAAAUUACUCUUUUUUUACAACUAUAUCAUAGUUUCUCAAGGGAAAUGAGGAAACUGAUAAAAAGGAGGAAUGCUCACGUACCAACCAAUCAAUAGCUUCGCCCAUCUACUUUUAGGCUGAUUUCACUUCCUUCCAGGCAGGAGCCAAUUUUUAAAUUUAUAACCAAAAAGCUUCAGAUACCUUCAGAAACUGCAAGUUAGCUAUUUUAUUUGCCCUUGUUUACAGCAUCUUUAGUCACUAAAGAAACUUCUAGCUUAACACCGAACUGCACUGAGCUGUGAUUACAUAACAGAACAUAAAGCUUGGAAGAAGAAAAACACAUGACUAGAAAUAGUACAAAAGUGUUUUCAAGACCACAUGAGCACAAGAUAGAUUCUACACAGACACAGUUUUGACUGCUGUAUGAACAAGGACUGACUUCCUUG